UGUGACCGUAAUCUAACACACCUGUAUGCUAAUCAUGUAGCUAACAGGUGUAUGCUACGUCAAACAAACCUUAGCUAGCAUCGUUUUGCACAGUCGUAAUUACAGCUGCUAAGCUCAGAAUUAUUUACGAAUGUUGUUAAACGACGUGCGGGUUUGUUUUUGUUCGUUUAGAAUCGUUUUUGGAGGGUAAAAAUGUCUCCGUACCUCUAAUAUCGCAUUAAUUGUAAGAGUCAACGGUUUUGGGACAAAGUGAAAUUCGCAUAUUUUGCUAGCAGCUAAUCGAUGCUACAGAUGACCAGUUGGUGCUGCCACAAACCACAUACCAGUGCACAAGACCAGUGGAGCAGGAAUGAGGUUAUUCCUACUACUCCUUCAUUCCAACAAUUCUAACCGGGAACAAGAGGAAAAAGUAGCUGAAGCUGACAUCGGUGAUACCUGAUACUCAAGACGACACGGUUUGUCAGGAGGAUCUUCAGGAUGUUGACCAUUCGACAGUGACCACAUGGAUGCUACACAGUGUGCAGGUUGAAUUUGGUGACUGAGUAGAAGGUUGUUGUGAUCCACAACUUGAAGCCUGAGAGUGGAAUGACAGAGUGGAAAAUGAGCAGCCCAUACAAAGAAGUGGAGGUAAUGUGGGCUAAGUGAUCAAUGGCAUUGAUCAGCCAGUCAAUCCUGGAGUCUAUAUUCUUCUCUGUUUACACUCUCCUACUGCCGCUGUGUUAAACUGAGCGUGCUCUGAGCAGCCACCUUAGGGACCCUCUAAAAGCUGGCCUCACACCCAUCAUUGAUUGACAUGUCGAUUAUCUAGGGAGCUGUUGACAGCACAGUUGUUAGCCAUCUUAAACAUUAAUGAUGAUGGGGAGUGGUUACUAAGAGAGACAGACGUUCAUUUUCAUGUGUAGUACCUCUUUUAGUGGAAUGAAACACAUUAAACAUAACUUUAAACACAAAACAACCAAAUAGUUGUAUGUGAUCGACCAGUUCUGCUACCUAUAAUAUCAAAUGAACACUUGUGCAUGUGCCACCUCUUGUUGCCUUGUGUGUGUUUUCUUUGAUCAUCAACACUCAAUCUGAAUAUAUGCUACCGUUCAAAAGUUUGGAGUCACUUAGAAAAGUUUCUAUUUUUGAAAGAAAAGCAUUUUUUUCAAUGAAGAUAACAUUAAAUUAAUCAUAAGUCCAGGCUAGACAUUGUUAAUGUGGUAAUGAUUAUUCUAGCUGGAAACAGCUGAUUUGUAAUGGAAUAUCUACAUAGGGAUACAGAGGCCCAUUUCCAGCAACCAUCACUCUUGUGUUCUAAUGCUACAUCGUGUUAACUAAGCACGUUGAAACGCUAAUUGAUGAUUAAAAAAAACCUUUGUGCAAUUUUGUUAGCACAUGAAUAAAAGUGUGAGUUUUCAUAGAAACAUGAAAUUGCCUGGGUGACCCCAAACUUUUGAACGGUAGUGAAUAUUCUAAAUUUUAACAAAGGACAGAUAGUAUUAAAAAAAAAAGAAAAAAACAACACACACAUCCAAGUCCCUUCAGUAUUUUAAGAAAUUACUUACUUGCAAUGUUGAUAAAAGGGAAACUUCAUGACUUUCUAUCAUUUUUUGUAAGCAUUAGGGUUUUACGUUUUGUUUGGCUGAUUUGUUGGCACGUUUUUCUUUUUCUCUGUCAAUUAAAUGGAAAGUCAAGACCUCAGAGAUUUCAUCUUCCUUUAAACUUAAUCACAUUGAAUUUUUUAAAUUCAGAUUUUAUUUUGAAAUUCAAAAUAACAAACAUAAGUUAUACCUUUUUGAGGCGCAACCAUGCAAAAAAUAAUAUUGAAUGGUUUGAGUUUGCUAAAUUUUUGCAUUGUUUGAACUUCUUAUACAGAUGAUUGCAUUUUUUUGUAAACAGAAUAAUUCAGAUUCUGUUGUGAUCUUGCAUAGAUACCUAGUCAUCUUUUUGCUAAGUGUAAUCAACGCCGAAUCGGAUUGUGUGCGUAUGUUUGUGUGUGUAAAAACAAUUGCAUUAAUGGUGCAGCCUUCACCACGUGCACCAGGCUCCCAGCGUAACCCUCAAACCUGUUUCUUCUUGUGUGUGUCAUUUACUGCCUUUAAAGAGUUUGUGUAAAGCAGUUUAUAGAUAAUUUCUACAUUUCCCGGAGCUCUUCUAAAUAUCUACUUAUGUGUUUAAGUUAUAAAAUGAUUCACUUUAAUAGACCCCAGUAACGGGCUGACGUGGACUGGCUGCAGGGACCAGAAGCUCUGAAAAUGAUUACACCACAGUAAUACUAAUGAUCAACCUUCUGCAUGAUGUUCACAGCACAGAGAAAGUAGCAGCCUCAACAUGACAUGAAGUCUUUGUCUGGGUCGCUGUUUUCAUCACUUGUUCUACCUUAAGCUGCUUCUCACUGCUGCCAGCUUCCCCAGGCCUGUUUUGGUUGGUCAGUGCAUUGAAAAUUGUUCUGCCUCUUUACAAGAUUGUCUUUAAUCUUUUGCCUUCCAUGUCACCUCGAAACGUGUGAAGGCUGAUAUGAUAAUGAUGUGGACCUGUCCAGGGUAUUAGAGUUAAGCUUCCUGAUUAGGCUGCACAUCGAUUGCUCUAUCAUUCAGCGCUGGCCAUGUCUGGGCAUCUGGGAGGGAGGAGAGUUGGGUGUUGGUGUUACAGAGGAUUGACAACCAUCCUGCAAAAAUGACUGCACUUGGAGUGAAUCAUAAAUGCACAUGAAACAAAACAUUUAAACAUUAAUAGGAAGUGCACAAAAACGUUUCUUUCUGUCACUGAAUAACUCUUUUAUACAAGUUAUGUUUUGUUUUAGAACUUUAAUUUCCUUUCAUUCACAUGUAAGUUGUACUACCAUUACAUACUCCCGUUAACAGCUUGCUAUCAGAAACAAUACAUUACUUACAUUAUAUUCCAUGUUGAACAUGGCUUACAUUGAGUUUGUCUUGCAGCUGUAAUGAAAGCAUAUAUGACUGUACCUUUUUAUUAAGUGAUGCAGUGAUGAUUAAGGAGUAGUGAUGAUGAAAGGCAAUGUAGAACAGAUCUGUGUAGGGGAAUAGUAUGAGAAAAUUACAUUUUUACAAUAAAUUCUAUGUACUGUUGCAACUGUCAUGCAAUAAUAACAGUUCCAACCAUGUGUUGGCAUUCUAGUUUGCAUUGCAACAAAUACAUCUGGCACAGUUGAUGUGUGAGAAGCCAGAUUGUGCAUUUUGUGUCUUAGACAGUCACACACCUUAUUUUCAACUGUCAGUGAUGAGGUGCAUAAUAGCCGUAUCGCUCAUUAAACCUUCCUAAAGGGAAAGUUCAGUUUCUUUAAAAUGGAGUUGUAUGAGGUACUUAUCCAUAGUUGAUGUAUUACCUACAGUAGAUCACAGUCGGCAUGCACCCCAGUUUGGAAAAGCAGACGAGGGGACCAGUGGUAAAGCUAAGCAAACUGCUGACAGCCACAAAACAUGUUUUAGCCACCUGACAAAAGGUCCACCUACAAAUAGUAGAAGUGUAUUUAAUGAUAUUUAGUUUAUUUUUGCCGAUUUACCUUGCCAUCAGACAGCUUUCCAUCAGCGAACUUUGUGUCGCUAGUCUGUUUUUUGGCAGGUUAAUCGGCAAGGUACA